GUGGCUGGUGGCACCUUCAUUGGGGAGGACAGGCUCAUGGUAAUGGCUGGAGGUGGCUGGUGGCACCUUCAUUGGGGAGGACAGGCUCAUGGUAAUGGCUGGAGGUGGCUGGUGGCACCUUCAUUGGGGAGGACAGGCUCAUGGUAAUGGCUGGAGGUGGCUGGUGGCACCUUCAUUGGGGAGGACAGGCUCAUGGUAAUGGCUGGAGGUGGCUGGUGGCACCUUCAUUGGGGAGGACAGGCUCAUGGUAAUGGCUGGAGGUGGCUGGUGGCACCUUCAUUGGGGAGGACAGGCUCAUGGUAAUGGCUGGAGGUGGCUGGUGGCACCUUCAUUGGGGAGGACAGGCUCAUGGUAAUGGCUGGAGGUGGCUGGUGGCACCUUCAUUGGGGAGGACAGGCUCAUGGUAAUGGCUGGAGGUGGCUGGUGGCACCUUCAUUGGGGAGGACAGGCUCAUGGUAAUGGCUGGAGGUGGCUGGUGGCACCUUCAUUGGGGAGGACAGGCUCAUGGUAAUGGCUGGAGGUGGCUGGUGGCACCUUCAUUGGGGAGGACAGGCUCAUGGUAAUGGCUGGAGGUGGCUGGUGGCACCUUCAUUGGGGAGGACAGGCUCAUGGUAAUGGCUGGAACGGAAUUAAUGGCAUGAUGUUGAACACAUCAAACACCUGGAUUCCAUUUUAUUUGAUGCCAUUCCAUUCACUUCA